AAAAAGGAUAUGCUCUUUUCAGUUAAUAAAGACAUUGUAACAAUCAAACACAACUUCAAUUCAGUUGUUCAUUCAAAGUUAACAAAUCGCAGAUAUCAACUAGACUUCCAAAUUUUUAGUUUCAGGAGCAAUUGAGCUUCCAAGACCUGGCAGCAUGGCUAGCAAUACUGAUCCAUAACACUAAAAUUUGAGCUAUAUCUGUUAUGAGACGUACACAUCAUAGUAAGAUAAAGCACUAAUAGGAUGACUGACUAGUUAAAUAUCAUAACAUUAACAUUAAAGUCCCAAUUUAAGUCUGCUAACAAUGGUCUGUAAAAUUAAAGUACGAGCACAGACCAUCAAAGAAGCCAAUCCCUAAAUGGAGAUGAAGCU
rnacentral:lncRNA from 1 species